UACGAAGGGGGCGAGCGUUGUUCGGAAUUACUGGGCGUAAAGGGCGCGUAGGCGGCCCCCUUUUGUCGCGUGUGAAAGCCCCCGGGCUCAACCUGGGAACGGCGCGCGAAACGGGGGGGCUUGAGUUCGGGAGAGGAGAGUGGAAUUCCCAGUGUAGAGGUGAAAUUCGUAGAUAUUGGGAAGAACACCGGUGGCGAAAGGCGGCUCUCUGGGACCGAGACUGACGCUGAGG
rnacentral:rRNA from 1 species